rnacentral:rRNA from 1 species
AACGAACGCUGGCGGCGGGCUUAACACAUGCAAGUCGAGCGCCCCGCAAGGGGAGCGGCAGACGGGUGAGUAACGCGUGGGAAUCUACCCAUCUCUACGGAAUAACGCAUGGAAACGUGUGCUAAUACCGUAUACGUCCUUCGGGAGAAAGAUUUAUCGGAGAUGGAUGAGCCCGCGUUGGAUUAGCUAGUUGGUGGGUAAAGGCCUACCAAGGCGACGAUCGAUAGCUGGUACGAGCGGAUGAUCAGCCAAACUGGGACUGAGACACGGCCCAGACUCCUACGGGAGUCAGCAGUGGGGAAUAUUGGACAAUGGGCGCAAGCCUGAUCCAGCCAGGCCGCGUGAGUGAUGAAGGCCCUAGGGUUGUAAAGCUCUUUCACCGGUGAAGAUAAUGACGGUAACCGGAGAAGAAGCCCCGGCUAACUUCGUGCCAGCCGCCGCAGUAAUAC